rnacentral:tRNA from 1 species
GCCGGCUUAGCUCAAUUGGUAGAGCACCUGACUUGUAAUCAGGGGGUUGUGGGUUCGAUUCCUAUCGCCGGCACCA